AUUGAACGCUGGCGGCAUGCCUUACACAUGCAAGUCGAACGGCAGCACGGACUUCGGUCUGGUGGCGAGUGGCGAACGGGUGAGUAAUAUAUCGGAACGUGCCCUGGAGUGGGGGAUAACUAGUCGAAAGACUAGCUAAUACCGCAUACGAUCUAUGGAUGAAAGUGGGGGAUCGCAAGACCUCAUGCUCGUGGAGCGGCCGAUAUCUGAUUAGCUAGUUGGUAGGGUAAAAGCCUACCAAGGCAUCGAUCAGUAGCUGGUCUGAGAGGACGACCAGCCACACUGGGACUGAGACACGGCCCAGACUCCUACGGGAGGCAGCAGUGGGGAAUUUUGGACAAUGGGGGCAACCCUGAUCCAGCAAUGCCGCGUGAGUGAAGAAGGCCUUCGGGUUGUAAAGCUCUUUUGUCAGGGAAGAAACGGUCCGGGCUAAUAUCCUGGGCUAAUGACGGUACCUGAAGAAUAAGCACCGGCUAACUACGUGCCAGCAGCCGCGGUAACAC
rnacentral:rRNA from 1 species